rnacentral:rRNA from 1 species
AACGAACGCUGGUAGCGUGGAUUAGGCAUGCAAGUCGAACGGGAUCCAAUGGGUAGCAAUAUUCGUUGGUGAGAGUGGCGGACUGGGGUGGAACACGUGAGCAACCUGUCCUUGGGCGGGGGAAGACCGUUGGAAACGACGGCUAAUACCGCAUGAGACGCGGGGGAGACAUCUUCUCCGCGUGAAAGGGGGCCGCAAGGCUCUCGCCUGAGGAGGGGCUCGCGCACCAUCAGCUGGUUGGCGGGGUAACGGCCCACCAAGGCUUACGGUUAGCUGGUCUGAGAGGAUGGCCAGCCCCACUGGGACUGAGACACUGCCCAGACUCCUACGGGAGGCUGCAGUCGAGGAUCAUUUGCAAUGGGCGAAAGCCUGACAAUGCGACGCUGCGUGGAGGAUGAAGGCCUUCGGGUUGUAAACUCCUGUCAUGGGGGAACAGGCGAGUCGACCUAAUACGUCGGCGAGUUGAGUGUACCCCAAGAGGAAGCGACGGCUAACUCUGUGCCAKCAGCCCGCGGUAAUACAGAGGUCGCAAGCGUUGUUCGGAUUUACUGGGCGUAAAGGGCGCGUAGGCGGUCGUGUGUGUCGGAUGUGAAAUCCCCGGGCUCAACCCGGGACGUGCGUCCGAAACUGCAUGACUGGAGUCUGGGAGAGGGAAUCGGAAUGCAGGGUGUAGCGGUGAAAUGCGUUGAUAUCCUGCAGAACACCGGAGGCGAAGGCGGAUUCCUUGAACAGCACUGACGCUGAGGCGCGAAAGUCGGGGGAGCAAGCAGGAUUAGAUACCCUGGUAGUCCCGACCUUAGACGGUGCACGCUAGGGGUGGGGCCAUUUCACCGGCCCCGUCCCUCAGCCAACGCGUUAAGCGUGCCGCCUGGGGAGUACGGCCGCAAGGCUAAAACUCAAAGAAAUUGACGGGGGCCCGCACAAGCAGAGGAGCAUGUGGCUUAAUUCGAUGCAACGCGAAGAACCUUACCUGGGCUUGACAUACAGCUGCACGGCCUAUGAAAGCAGGCUUCCUUCGAGGGUGCUGUACAGGUGCUGCAUGGCUGUCGUCAGUUCGUGCCGUGAGGUGUUUGGUUAAGUCCACCAACGAACGCAACCCCUUUGACGUGUUGCCAGCGGGUAAUGCCGGGAACUCGCGUCAGACUGCUUGUUUACGCAAGAGGAAGGUGGGGAUGACGUCAAGUCAGUAUGGCCCUUACGCCCAGGGCUGCACACGUGCUACAAUGGCAUGUACAGAGCGACGCGAGGCCGCAAGGCGGAGCAAAUCGCACAGAGCAUGCCUCAGUUCAGAUCGGGGUCUGCAACCCGACCCCGUGAAGUCGGAUUUGCUAGUAACGGCGUAUCAGCUACGACGCCGUGAAUGCGUUCCCGGGCCUUGUACACACCGCCCGUCACAUCAUGAAAGCCGUCUGCACCCGAAGUCCGGCAUUCGUCGGCCUAAGGUGUGGGUGGUGAUUGGGAUG